rnacentral:rRNA from 1 species
UCGGGGACCGCUGAUCCGGCGACCUUCGGGCCACCGUUUCGGUGGAAACCGAUUUAAUCGCAGUGGCUUGAACCGGGUAAAAGUCGUAACAAGGUAGCUGUAGGUGAACCUGCUGCUGGAUCAUUACACACUCACCGUGAUGG